CCGGCGACCGGCGGACGGGUGCGUAACGCGUAUGUAACCUACCUUUGACAGGGGGAUAACAUCGAGAAAUUGGUACUAAUACCCCAUAACAUCACCGGAGGCAUCUUCGGUGGUUGAAAACUCAGGUGGUCAGAGAUGGACAUGCGUUGUAUUAGCUAGUUGGUGAGGUAACGGCUCACCAAGGCGACGAUACAUAGGGGGACUGAGAGGUCAACCCCUCACAUUGGUACUGAGACACGGACCAAACUCCUACGGAAGGCAGCAG
rnacentral:rRNA from 1 species